UACUCCUACGGGAGGCAGCAGUGGGGAAUAUUGCACAAUGGGCGGAAGCCUGAUGCAGCGACGCCGCGUGGGGGAUGACGGCCUUCGGGUUGUAAACCUCUUUCGCUAGGGACGAAGCUUUUGUGACGGUACCUAGAUAAGAAGCACCGGCUAACUACGUGCCAGCAGCCGCGGUA
rnacentral:rRNA from 1 species